AUUUAACGCUGGCGGCAGGCCUAACACAUGCAAGUCGAACGAGUGGCGGACGGGUGAGUUAUGUCUGGUCAACUGCCCGAUGGAGGGGGAUAAAUACUGGAAACGGUAGCUAAUACCGCAUACCAUAGUAUGCGCCUAGAUGGGAUUAGCUUGUAGGUGGGGUAACGGCUCACCUAGGCGACUAUCUCUAGCUGGUAUGAGAGGAUGACCAGACAAACUGGAACUGAGACACGGUCCAGACUCCUACGGGAGGCAGCAGUGGGGAAUAUUGCACAAUGGGCGCAAGCCUGAUGCAGCCAUGCCGCGUGUAUGAAGAAGGUCUUCGGGUUGUAAAGUACUUUCAGCGAGGAGGCGUUACUCGCAGAAGAAGCACCGGCUAACUCCGUGCCAGCAGCCGCGGUAAUAC
rnacentral:rRNA from 1 species